UACGUAGGGGGCAAGCGUUGUCCGGAAUUAUUGGGCGUAAAGGGCGCGCAGGCGGUCUGGAAAGUCGGAUGUGAAACCUCGGGGCUCACCCCCGAGCCUGCCUCCGAAACUUCUGGACUUGAGAGCAAGAGAGGGGAGUGGAAUUCCUAGUGUAGCGGUGAAAUGCGUAGAUAUUAGGAGGAACACCAGUGGCGAAGGCGACUCCCUGGCUUGCCACUGACGCUGAGGCGCGAAAGCGUGGGUAGCGAACAGG
rnacentral:rRNA from 1 species